UACUUCUCUGUUUAUCACACCAUCUUUGCUAAGUGACACCUCCUGAGUAAACACUUUUGGAUUGUAGGUACCUAAGCAAUGGCAGAUCCCUGUCAUGGUAGUGACGAGCAGAAAGUGGCAUCCGCAUUUAUGGCGGAACAGAAAGGAGGCAGGAUGGAAUUUUUUUAAAUGAUGAUUUUUUUCUUCAAGAGGGAAUUAAGCGCUGGUGAAAGAUGACGGAUUGAUGGCGCUGCAUCCCAAAGCUCCCUUUAUUUACUGGAGGGACAGACAGACAAACACACAUACAAACAGCAUGAGUGACAGCAGCACAGGACUCCCCAGGCACUGCCCAAGAGGCUUUAGCCUGACUUGAAGACACUGUCUGUGGGGAGAGAAGGGAGUUAUCUGUUGCCUCCCUGCUAACCAUGCCCAUAAAAGGCCUAAUUAGCACCAACUGUGGGGGUGGCCUUUGCUCUAUGCACUGGGAACACGUCAGACAUGGGCCAAACAUGGCUAUUGGACCAGGGUAGUUUUUGCUGGCUUCUGACUUAGGCUGGAUGUAGAUCAGGUGCCCUGAAGGGACAGGCUCUAUCCUUUACAGCUAGAGACCUAUGCUUUUGGUGCCUUGGACUCUAGUGGCAGUCUCUCUGAUGGGAGGCAUUACAAAGCAGAGACCCGAGAUCUCCUCAGACAAUCGGGAAAAGCUUCCAACAGACAGGUGGAGUGUAAAAUGAGCUAAGUAGGUUAUGCCCCCUCUAGUGGUGGGUCUACAUAAAGGAUAACAGCCUGCUACUGCUACCAGCUAAUAGGAAUACUUAUCUAGGUCAAGUGACAGAGGCCUCUGCUUCAGCUGAUGAAGGGCUUAGU